ACGGGUGAGUAACACGUGAGCAACCUACCCCUGACUCUGGGAUAAGCGCUGGAAACGGCGUCUAAUACUGGAUAUGUGGCGUGACCGCAUGGUCUGCGUCUGGAAAGAAUUUCGGUUGGGGAUGGGCUCGCGGCCUAUCAGCUUGUUGGUGAGGUAAUGGCUCACCAAGGCGUCGACGGGUAGCCGGCCUGAGAGGGUGACCGGCCACACUGGGACUGAGACACGGCCCAGACUCCUACGGGAGGCAGCAGUGGGGAAUAUUGCACAAUGGGCGCAAGCCUGAUGCAGCAACGCCGCGUGAGGGAUGACGGCCUUCGGGUUGUAAACCUCUUUUAGCAGGGAAGAAGCGAAAGUGACGGUACCUGCAGAAAAAGCGCCGGCUAACUACGUGCCAGCAGCCGCGGUAAUACGUAGGGCGCAAGCGUUAUCCGGAAUUAUUGGGCGUAAAGAGCUCGUAGGCGGUUUGUCGCGUCUGCUGUGAAAUCCGGAGGCUCAACCUCCGGCCUGCAGUGGGUACGGGCAGACUAGAGUGCGGUAGGGGAGAUUGGAAUUCCUGGUGUAGCGGUGGAAUGCGCAGA
rnacentral:rRNA from 1 species